rnacentral:rRNA from 1 species
GUAGGGAAUAUUGCGCAAUGGGGGAAACCCUGACGCAGCGACGCCGCGUGAGUGAUGAAGGCCUUCGGGUCGUAAAGCUCUGUUGCAGGGGAAUAAAAAAAUGAAGGUACCCUGUGAGGAAGGAUCGGCUAACUUCGUGCCAGCAGCCGCGGUAAGACGAGGGAUCCUAGCGUUGCUCGGAAUCAUUGGGCGUAAAGAGGGCGUAGGUGGCUUGGUAAGUCAGGUGUGAAAGCCCAGGGCUCAACCAUGGAAGUGCAUUUGAUACUGCCGAGCUUUAGUGUCAGAGAUGUUACCGGAAUACCUGGUGUAGUGGUGAAAUACGUAGAUAUCAGGUGGAACACCGGAGGCGAAGGCGGGUAACUGGACGAACACUGACACUGAGGCCCGAAAGCGUGGGGAUCAAACAGGAUUAGAAACCCGUGUAGUCC